GGCACAGGUGGCCGGGGGCGCGCCGGGCCCACCCGGCCGAAAACAGGGAGCAGGGAAAGGGCUCCAGGACGGAUCCCAUACGGAGCACAAGGGCCCCGCUCCCAGAGGAGCCAAGAACUUCGGGCAACAUUUCUGAGGUAAAAAAAUGCAGAUUUGGGGGUCUGGAGUAGAUUUCGGGGUGGAAAAGGCAGAUUUUGGGGUGAAAAAGGCAGAUUUUUGGGGAGAAUCCUGAGGGAAAAGGAGCCAGUUUUGGGCCCCUCAAAAAGUCUGAUUUGGGGCUCUGGGGCAGAUUUUCAGGUUGAAGAGGAAGAUUUUGGGGGGUGAGGGGAAAUCCCGAGGGAAAGUCAAGUUUUGAGGAAAAAAAAAAAACCCAACCCAACAGAUUUUGGUGUGGAAAAGGCAGAUUUCAGGGGGUGGGAGGAAAUCCUGAGGGAAAAGGAGCAGAUUUUGAGGUGGAAUAUGCAGAUUUGGGGGUGAUAAGACAAAUAUUAGAGGUG